rnacentral:lncRNA from 1 species
CGCAUCUUUUGUCUUCUUACACAUUAUAAAGUAUUUCUUACCAAAACAGAAGAAAGUUCCGGGUUUCAAGGAUUCCGGCUAACGGAGAAGGCUGCUGUUCCUACCAGAAAUCAGUUUCAAAUGCGAGUAUGUGACAGACUUUGAGGCAAGAGGAUGUCUUUUAAAUGCUUUUAACACCCUUAUUUACUUGAAUAAUGAA